CGACGAUGCAUGCCUUUUCCUUUUUGUCAUAUCUUUACCACCACCUUUAAACCUGAAACAGCUACUUUUUACUGUACUGGUACUGUACAUAACACUCAUCUAUCUACAUUAGAGCCAUGGUCUAUACAUCUAUAUUGCCCACAAAAAAAUUAGAAAAAAGAAAAGAAUCAGAAUCGCGGUGCGUUGAUGAUGAUACCGGUCAAACACCCAGCAGCAGUGCCUGCAAUCUAUCACGUAGAGCAAUCCUAUCAGCGACCUCUACAGCUAUACGCGUAAGCUCCUCCACCAUACUUACAGGAACUGUCAGGACCCAGCCAAGGAAAAUCCAUCCAAACGCUCGCCAGUUAAUCGAUUUUACUGUUGCGCGUUUCAUCAGUAAUUACUUCCUUGUAACGGCUCGAGCGAAAACAAAACGCACUACCUCCCGAAACGAUACCGACACCAGCUGUAGAGCCUGUAAUACACAUAGUGGUGCUGACAGGGAUGCCAUCUGCGCGCAAAUAUUAGCAACUUAUCGCAUUCGUAUGAGUGAGGAAGCCUACAUUGAGAAGCCAGCAAGACAGUGAUGGACGAUCCCAGCUCCAUGGAGAAACCUCGAGAAGGAGAGUGCAUGGUCAGUCUGUUACCGAGCACGGACAUGAUAUUCUAUUCCGACCGUUAAUACAGGAGGAGUCCAUGUUGAUAGAAUUCACUCACAUAGCCAUAAGUAGCAAGACCAAGGACGAGUAUCAAGCCUCCAGCAACAAAAAUCCAAACUGGUGUUUCAGUCUCAGAAGGCGUGACUGUACCUGUGGACCACACAUAGUAAAUGGCUGCGAAAGGUCCAACACUGUUGUCUCGUCAGCCAUCUGUGAGAUUAGUUAAAUCGUUGUACGUACGCAUUGGCGAGGUCAUUAGAACCGUGGGCAAAGGAAUUUGUACACGCAGUCAAGACUUGGAGGAAAGAGUACAAAUGUUCAGUCUACGCCAAGGUGACGGUGGAGCAAUCAGUACGUCAAUUUUAUUGGGAAUGUCAAAGUAAACUUACUUCAUUGUCAUACUGGGCGGCGCGUUCAUACAUCUUCAUCAUCCUAUCGCUCUCCUUCCCCUUGCCCUUGUGGGAUUGCAUGGCAUGAAUAUCGACUGGUUCCCAUUAGCUAUAUCAGCCAAUUCCAAGAAAAUAUGCAACUUACCGGAUGUACCAUGCAACAACAUCUUAGGUAAUUUGUAUCUGAAUAGGAUCCACAGAUUCCUGGGUAGAAUAAUCGCUCCCUCAAUUUUAUGGUCGUCCUUCUCGAGGUCUUCCAAAGCGCUGGCAUACGAUUUGCCUUUGGAAAGACUCGGCAAUGGGGCAGACUCGAUAUCCUUAUCCUUCUCUUGGGAUGUGGCCGUCAGGUUGGUUUCGAGAGGAGCACCUUCACCGACGGUUGAACCUUCAGAGACUGGCUUUGCAGGAGUUUGCGUGGCGGGCUCUUUGUGCUCGUCAUCUCGAUCGUAAACUCGGUAGUCGGGGACGUGUCGCGCACCCUCGGGAGGAGGAGGAGGAGCGGCCCGACGCCAAAGAAGAGGACCGUAAAAGAAAUGAUACCAUCGAAGAGCUGAUAUGGUCAGCUGGAUGCUUGAUCUAAUUGAGAGAAGAAUUACUGUAGUCUUUCUUGAUGACCUUGGAAUACACAAAUGGCAACCAGAAGAUUACAGACAGGAAGGCAAUAACAACGCCAGUAAGUACGAUGGCAAGGGCGAUAGUGGUCUGAGGGAGCUUGUUAAGCUUAAGUUGAGGAGCACCUUUGUAGACUGCCGUUGCCCCACGAUUAGCUGCAUCCUUGUCCCCACAGAUCACAAUAACCCACCAAUGGACAUUGUCAAGAUUGCCGCCACUGUGAAAAAAUAAAUUGGAGAAACAUACAAUCCAGCCUUCAAAGGAUCCUUUCUCUUCAGCACAGCAUAUUUGGUGAUCAAGUAGACUGUUGCCCCAAACCCGGCAGAAAUGGCAGGAGCAAUCACGAAACCAGCAAAAAUAGUCGCAAUACCCUUUCCAUUAUUCCAGCCCCACUGUACCGCACCAGGUCCAUCAAGCGCGACACCCACACCUGCCAAAGCAGAGACAAUCGAGUAUGUUGUAGAUACCGGCCAUGCUUUUCUAGUGGCGAUCAUGAGCCAGGUAGCGGAAGCUGCAAGCGCGCAGACAAAGGCGAGAAGUUCGACACCGGGAUUAUUUCUGAACGUCGACAUCGAGAUGAUACCGUUCUUUAUGGUACCAGCCACUUGCGCACCUGCAAGGACACCUCCAAGGAAUUCACAAAUCGCGGCAAGCAUGGCGGCUUGUCGGAGAGUGAGCGAACGGGAGGAGAUUGAAGUAGCAAAUGAAUUAGCGACACUAGAGAUAAGUUGAUGAGGAUUUGAAACCUUUUGCGAGCAUACUGCAAGGACACUUACUCGUUGGCACCAAUAUUGUAGGCAUCCAAAGCAGCAACUGAAUCCAUGAACAGUUGAAUUAGUGGCAGAUUACUUUGUUGAAGCGGGUUCUGUCUUACAAAGAACACCAAAGGCGAAUAGAUAAUCCCAUUGGUGAAGAGCAGGCAUCGUAUCGAGCUACUGUCAGUCUGUAAAAUGCCUGAAAUUGGGGAAAAAGUAAGUGCUGUUAGAUUGAAGCAACGUAGAAAGAGUUGUCAGUUCUUUGGUCUUAUACAUUAUCCUCUUCCCGCUCCUAUCCUAGGCAAAGGACAGCAGCACGAACGUUUACAC
rnacentral:sRNA from 1 species